UACGUAGGUGGCAAGCGUUGUCCGGAUUUACUGGGCGUAAAGGGCGUGCAGGCGGUUUGUUUAGUCUAGGGUGAAAGCUCCCGGCUUAACUGGGAGAGGUCCUUGGAUACUGGCAAACUUGAGGGAGGCAGAGGAAAGUGGAAUUCCCGGUGUAGUGGUGAUAUGCGUAGAUAUCGGGAGGAACACCCGUGGCGAAGGCGGCUUCCUGGGCCACCACUGACGCUGAGACGCGAAAGCGUGGGGAGCGAACGGG
rnacentral:rRNA from 1 species